GAGGCCAGAGGCUGCUCACCAUAUACAUCACCAUCCAUAGCCGCCCUCGUCCGCCAAGAAGCUGAGGAGGGAGGCUGACCUCCAGUGACCACUCUGCACCGCUCUGGACGACACCCUCCCCCACCAGAGAGAAAGUGCAAAAGCUAUGGGCAAUCCUAUAUGACUGGCGCCAUCAAGGUUGUUGAAGGGAGAUGGGGCUCUUCAGGCCCCUUUGGUGCAAAAGCACAAGCAACA